GGGGUCUGGCUCUUCCGGGGGCAGGAGCUGGCCUUUACUCUGUGCCCGGACUGGCAGGUGGAUUACGAGUCCUACACCUGGCGCAAGCUGGAUCCCGACAGCGCCGAGUGCCGGACCCUGGUCCAGGAAUAUUUCCUGUGGGAAGGGGAAUUCCGGCACGUGGGAAAACCCUUCAACCAGGGCAAGAUCUUCAAGUGAUCCCGACGGGAUCCCGGGGGGGAGGGGGGAUCCCUGGGGGGGGGGGGUUUCCCGGGAUUGAUCCCAGGGGGAAUCCCGGGCUCCUUCCGGGCUGAGCCGGGGCCGUUCCCGGCGCUCCCGUGUUCCCCGUUAUCCUCCUGAUCCAUAAAAAACCUUCAACCAGGGCGAGA